rnacentral:misc_RNA from 1 species
GAUGAAGAACGCAGCAAAAUGCGAUAAGUAAUGUGAAUUGCAGAAUUCAGUGAAUCAUCGAAUCUUUGAACGCACAUUGCGCCCGCCAGUAUUCUGGCGGGCAUGCCUGUUCGAGCGUCAUUUCAACCCUCAAGCACAGCUUGGUGUUGGGACUCGCGUUAAUUCGCGUUCCCCAAAUUGAUUGGCGGUCACGUCGACCUUCCAUAGCGUAGUAGUAAAACCCUCGUUACUGGUAAUCGUCGCGGCCACGCCGUUAAACCCCAACUUCUGAAUGUUGACCUCGGAUCAGGUAGGAAUACCCGCUGAACUUAAGCAUAUCAAUAAGCGGAGGA